ACCAUAUUGAAUGGGAACCUAUUUCGGC
rnacentral:sRNA from 1 species